GUGUGUGUGUGUGUGUGUGUGUGUGUGUGUGUGUGUGUGUGUGUGUGUGUGUGAGGCUUAACCAGUGUGGAGUGCAGGCUUCAGACUCACUUCUGUUCCCUCGGGAAACCAAGGCCUAGUUUCCCUGCUGCCUGCUGAUUGGUUAAAACACACAACAAGAUACAUCAUGAUUGGUGAAAACAUGACAACAUAUCUCAGUAUACAUGCUAGGGUACACUGUGUCCAAACCUUUCCAGUUCAUUCCAGAGGUCUUGAUGAAAAGGAAAAAGGAGAGUUAUUGAAGAGUACUUAGGAAAUGGAGAACCCUUAGGAAAUGGAGAACCCUUAGGAAAUGGAGAACCCUUAGGAAAUGGAGGACAUAGGUUAAAUAAAAUGUCAAAUUGUACAUGUUUGUUGACAACAAUAAAAUAUCAAUCCACAUCACAGUCUGAUGUCCAGUAGGAAUACAACAUGCAUCAAUGUUAUAUGAAACCACACACUUGACUAUAUAUCAACAGCCUGGCUAUAUUCUUCUCAGAAGGUUGUCCGAAUAUUGAGUUUCUCAACUGAAGUUUCUUCUGGAAAAAUAAAGAAAUAAAUUCUUAUAGUCUCAUAGUAGCCUAUGUAAUCAUAUAUUGCAGAGUGUGUGUGUGUGUGUGUGUGUGUGUGUGUGUGUGUGUGUGUGUGUGUGUGUGUGUGUGUGUGUGUGUGUGUGUGUGUGUGUGUCAGUAGACACUAGACUGACUCUCUGUGGUCAUAAGCUGUAACUGCAGCCUUCUUAGUGAACCACACAGUGCUAAAUAGCAUGUUACCUUUGUAGCCCACAGACCUCUAGUUACCAUGACAAUGUAAGCUGCUGCUAAAGCCUUCUGAAUGCGGUGGCUUAUUGUUGGCCAGUUUACAUUGCUCUCUGUGUUGGCUGUUAAAUAAAGGUAAUAGAUAAAUACAUCCGUUUCUGAAACUCUGAAUUAGAAUUGACUUCUUAGUAAGCGAGAACAGCGAGAAUAUGUUAUGUGCACUCUCUGGGAGUCACCCAGGGAUAUAUUUGGCAACUGGACAUGAACAUGCUGCAUCUCCGUAGUCUAUACAGUUGCUUCCUCUUUCCUUUCCUUCGACUGCACGUGAACAACUGACAGAACUUGUUAAGAGAAAGCAUCCCCACUAGGCCUGAAACAUAUUGCUUCCUAUUGCUUCCUAUUGCUUCAUAUUGCUUCACAUUGCUUCACAUUGCUUCACAUUGCUUUAACUCAUCCUGUAUUUUCAGACCGGUGCAGAUGAAGAGCUGACAAGAAAUUGCCACUGAAAACAAGGAGAUAGUAGACUAGAAUAUUACAGGCUUUGUAUGACAAUCCUGCCAUCUUCUGGCCAAUUUGGGACAACCAUGUUCUGAUGCACAAUUGAGAGCAGCCUGUCUGGCUGUAUCACCGCCUGGUACGGCAACUGCACCGCCCGCAAUCGCAGGGCUCUCCAGAGGGUGGUGCAGUCUGCCCAAUGCAUCACCGGGGGCAAGCUACCUGCCCUCCAGGACACCUACAACACCCCAUGUCACAGGAAGGACAAAAGAUCAUCAAGGACAACAACCACCAGAGCCACUGCCUGUUCACCCCGCUAUCAUCCAGAAGGCGAGUUCAAUACAGGUGUAUAAAAGCUGAGACUGAGGGACUGAAAAACAACUUGUAUCUCAAAGCCAUCAGACAAUUAGAUAGCCAUCACUAGCAUAUUAGAGGCUACUGCCCUAUAUACAUAGAUUGAAAUCACUGACAUUGCUUUACUUUAGAUUAUGUGCAUUGUUAGAUAUUACGUGUUAGAUAUACACUACCGUUCAAAAGUUUGGGGUCACUUAGAAAUGUCCUUGUUUUUCAAAGAAAAGCAAAUUUUUUGUCCAUUAAAAUAACAUCAAAUUGAUCAGAAA